rnacentral:lncRNA from 1 species
UUUAACAGCAGUUACCAGGUGUUCAGGACAAAGAAAGAAUAUAGACAGAAUGAGAAGGUGGCACAUUUGACACCAACCAGGUCCCAAGAGAAACUAAAUGCUUAUCAAACCUAAUGUGCACACAAAUCGCCUGGGAAACAGAUUGUGAUUCAAUAGGGCUGAGGGCCCAAGACUGCAUUUCCAGCCAGCUCCAAAGUAAUGCUGAUAACCACAGUGAGCACCAAAGCCAAAUGCCAAAAACCAAAAAGGAUGGCAAGAAUCAACCACAGGGGACAUCAGAGGACCACAGGUGGAGGAGAAGAGGCGAAAGUGGAAGCAACACAGCUGGAAAUGCUGGGACGUGCAGCAUUCUAUACUGCAAGUAGGCCCCAUGAAACAACCCUAAGGCAAGAAAGCAUCCACUAUGCUCAGAGAACAGCAAGGUGGCCCAGUUGGGUAGAGCAGAGUGACCUGUAGGAAGAAUAAUGGAUGUCAGGAGGAUUACUCUGGAUGCUAUGCUGAGAAGAAACUGAAGACAAUGGUGGAAGUGGGAAAGCUUAUGACUCAGAAUAACUAUUUCUAAUAACAAAUUUUAAGUUCUCUUCAUGCAGAGCAGCUGACACAAAUCUUCAACUCAUUGAUGAUGGCAUCUGACUGUUCCAGGUAUUAAGAAGAGAGAAAGAAUCUGAGAAAUUAUGGCGUACUCAACUGUGGACAGCUGAAAGUCUGGCAUAGCGUGCCCUCAUCAUCACAAAUGGGCUCGCAUUACAAGCUACACUUAUUUGACAACUAUCAGCAUUUGUCAACCGGCACUCAGAUUUGAAGACUCAUUUCACAGCUGGAGCAAGAGAAGACAGGAAGGAAAAAUCAGAGUAAGGUUUCAAUGAGUUUCUGCAAAUUCUCAGAAGUUUUGCUGCCACUCAGUGUCACAAUAACAAAAAGAAAUAAAAAUAGCUGAUAUUUACUAAACAUC